rnacentral:rRNA from 1 species
AGAAUCAACGCUGGCGGCGUGCCUAACACAUGCAAGUCGAACGAGAAAGUGGAGCAAUCCAUGAGUAAAGUGGCGCACGGGUGAGUAACACGUGACUAACCUACCCUUGAGUGGGGGAUAACCUAGGGAAACCUGGGCUAAUACCGCAUAAUACCUUCGGGUCAAAGGAGCAAUUCGCUUAAGGAGGGGGUCGCGGCCGAUUAGUUAGUUGGCGGGGUAAUGGCCCACCAAGACGAUGAUCGGUAUCCGGCCUGAGAGGGCGCACGGACACACUGGAACUGAAACACGGUCCAGACUCCUACGGGAGGCAGCAGUGGGGAAUUUUGCGCAAUGGGGGAAACCCUGACGCAGCAACGCCGCGUGGAGGAUGAAGUCCCUUGGGACGUAAACUCCUUUCGAUCGGGACGAUAAUGACGGUACCGGAAGAAGAAGCCCGGCUAACUUCGCGCCAGCAGCCGC